rnacentral:rRNA from 1 species
UACAGAGGUCCCAAGCGUUGUUCGGAUUCAUUGGGCGUAAAGGGUGCGUAGGUGGCGUCGUAAGUCGGGUGUGAAAUCUCGGGGCUUAACUCCGAAACUGCAUUCGAUACUGCGGUGCUUGAGGACUGGAGAGGAGACUGGAAUUACGGUGUAGCAGUGAAAUGCGUAGAGAUCGUAAGGAAGACCAGUGGCGAAGGCGGGUCUCUGGACAGUUCCUGACACUGAGGCACGAAGGCCAGGGAGCAAACGGG